UACGUAGGGGGCAAGCGUUGUCCGGAAUCAUUGGGCGUAAAGAGCGCGUAGGCGGCCCUGUAAGUCCGCUGUGAAAGUCAAGGGCUCAACCCUUGAAUGCCGGUGGAUACUGCAGGGCUAGAGUCCGGAAGAGGCGAGUGGAAUUCCCGGUGUAGCGGUGGAAAUGCGCAGAUAUCGGGAGGAACACCAAUGGCGAAGGCAGCUCGCUGGGACGGUACUGACGCUGAGACGCGAAAGCGUGGGGAGCAACAGGAU
rnacentral:rRNA from 1 species